GACGACGGGUAGCCGGCCUGAGAGGGCGACCGGCCACACUGGGACUGAGACACGGCCCAGACUCCUACGGGAGGCAGCAGUGGGGAAUAUUGCACAAUGGGCGAAAGCCUGAUGCAGCGACGCCGCGUGAGGGAUGACGGCCUUCGGGUUGUAAACCUCUUUCAGCAGGGAAGAAGCGAGAGUGACGGUACCUGCAGAAGAAGCGCCGGCUAACUACGUGCCAGCAGCCGCGGUAAUACGUAGGGCGCAAGCGUUGUCCGGAAUUAUUGGGCGUAAAGAGCUCGUAGGCGGCUUGUCGCGUCGGAUGUGAAAGCCCGGGGCUUAACUCCGGGUCUGCAUUCGAUACGGGCAGGCUAGAGUUCGGUAGGGGAGAUCGGAAUUCCUGGUGUAGCGGUGAAAUGCGCAGAUAUCAGGAGGAACACCGGUGGCGAAGGCGGAUCUCUGGGCCGAUACUGACGCUGAGGAGCGAAAGCGUGGGGAGCGAACAGGAUUAGAUACCCUGGUAGUCCACGCCGUAAACGUUGGGAACUAGGUGUGGGCGACAUUCCACGUUGUCCGCGCCGCAGCUAACGCAUUAAGUUCCCCGCCUGGGGGAGUACGGA
rnacentral:rRNA from 1 species